rnacentral:rRNA from 1 species
GUGGGGAAUUUUGGACAAUGGGGGCAACCCUGAUCCAGCAAUGCCGCGUGCAGGAAGAAGGCCUUCGGGUUGUAAACUGCUUUUGUACGGAACGAAACGGUCCUGGUUAAUACCUGGGGCUAAUGACGGUACCGUAAGAAUAAGCACCGGCUAACUACGUGCCAGCAGCCGCGGUAAUACGUAGGGUGCAAGCGUUAAUCGGAAUUACUGGGCGUAAAGCGUGCGCAGGCGGUUUUGUAAGACAGGCGUGAAAUCCCCGGGCUCAACCUGGGAAUGGCGCUUGUGACUGCAAGGCUGGAGUGCGGAAGAGGGGGAUGGAAUUCCGCGUGUAGCAGUGAAAUGCGUAGAUAUGCGGAGGAACACCGAUGGCGAAGGCAAUCCCCUGGGCCUGCACUGACGCUCAUGCACGAAAGCGUGGGGAGCAAACAGGAUUAGAUACCCGUGUAGUCC